rnacentral:rRNA from 1 species
UACGUAGGGUGCAAGCGUUAAUCGGAAUUACUGGGCGUAAAGCGUGCGCAGGCGGUUAUUUAAGUCAGGUAUGAAAGCCCUGGGCUUAACCUAGGAAUUGCGCUUGAGACUGGAUAGCUUGGAGUGCGGCAGAGGGAGGUGGAAUUCCACGUGUAGCAGUGAAAUGCGUAGAGAUGUGGAGGAACACCGAUGGCGAAGGCAGCCUCCUGGGCCAGCACUGACGCUCAUGCACGAAAGCGUGGGGAGCAAACAGG